rnacentral:rRNA from 1 species
UACGGGGGGGGGCAAGCGUUGUUCGGAAUUACUGGGCGUAAAGGGCUCGUAGGCGGCCAACUAAGUCAGACGUGAAAUCCCCUCGGCUUAACCGGGGAACUGCGUCUGAUACUGGAUGGCUUGAGAUUGGGAGAGGGAUGCGGAAUUCCAGGUGUAGCGGUGAAAUGCGUAGAUAUCUGGAGGAACACCGGUGGCGAAGGCGGCAUCCUGGACCAACACUGACGCUGAGGAGCGAAAGCGUGGGGAGCGAACAGG